CUUAAACGGAGAGCCCGAACAAGGGGUUGCCGUGGAAGCGGUGGGCCAGAACGACUGCAGCAUUUACGGAGAAGACACCGUGACAGACGAAGAGGGCAAGUUCAGAUUACGUGGAUUGCUGCCGGGAUGUGUGUACCACGUUCAGCUCAAGGCAGAAGGCAACGACCACAUUGAGCGGGCACUCCCCCACCAUAGGGUGAUUGAGGUUGGGAAUAAUGACAUCGAUGAUGUAAACAUCAUAGUUUUCCGGCAGAUUAAUCAAUUUGAUUUAAGUGGAAAUGUGAUCACUUCCUCUGAAUACCUUCCUACAUUAUGGGUCAAGCUUUACAAAAGCGAAAACCUCGACAAUCCAAUCCAGACAGUUUCCCUUGGCCAGUCCCUGUUCUUCCAUUUCCCCCCGCUGCUCAGAGACGGCGAGAACUAUGUUGUGCUUCUGGACUCCACACUCCCCAGAUCCCAGUAUGACUACAUCUUGCCUCAAGUUUCUUUCACCGCAGUGGGCUACCAUAAACACAUCACCUUGAUUUUUAAUCCCACGGAAAUAGGGAGGACCCAGGAGCACGCAAAUGACUCCACAGGGAUGCAGGACAACCACCUGGAGCCUGAUUUGUUUGACAAAUAAA
rnacentral:sRNA from 1 species